UACGUAGGGUGCAAGCGUUGUCCGGAAUUAUUGGGCGUAAAGAGCUCGUAGGCGGUCUGUCGCGUCGGCUGUGAAAUCCCGAGGCUCAACCUCGGGUCUGCAGUCGAUACGGGCAAACUGGAGUGUUGCAGGGGAGACUGGAAUUCCUGGUGUAGCGGUGAAAUGCGCAGAUAUCAGGAGGAACACCGGUGGCGAAGGCGGCUUUCUGGCCUGUUCUUGACGCUGAGGCGCGAAAGCUAGGGGAGCGAACGGG
rnacentral:rRNA from 1 species